AAGAGCAUAAGGUGAAUGCCUUGGUGAUUAGAGCCGAAGAAGGACGUGGCAAGCUGCGAAAAGCUAUGAUAAGGAGCAAACAUCCGUAAUAGUCAUAGAUCUCCGAAUGAGGAAACUCACUUAAUAGAGAUAUUAAGUAUCCAUUGCUAAAUACAU
rnacentral:sRNA from 1 species